GUUCAGUCUGUCUAGACUGUCCGGUACCGUGUUCGCACUGUCCAGUGCCUUGGCCGGUCGGUCCACUGUCCAGUCUGUCCAGACUGUCCAGACAGUCCAUUGCCGUGUCCGUCCAUACGACUGUCCAGUGCAGCGCCGCGGCAGGUCCGUCCGGCGUCACCGAUCCUGACGUCACGCGGUGACCGUCCCCGUGCCGAGGAGGCGCCGCCAAUCCAGUAAUCCAGCCCCACCGGCCGUCGGCCAGCCAAAUAAACGGCCAGUGCAGCCGCGAAGGCCGCCGCGAGGGGCGUCGGGCCGGCGCCGGCGCUCAGGGGCAGCGCUAGUGGCCGCCGCGGCCGGCGCGAGUGCGGUGUGGACCUGGGGUACGCCCGCGGUACAGGAGGUACUCGAACAUGCAGACAGUUCCGGAGACGGCGCGUGGUACGAUUGCAGAGGUGUGCUCGAGUUGACUUCGCCUUGAACUUUGAAGACAUCUGGGGCCUCGAAAAAACGUCCAGUGUAGGUGUAUAAAUAAGCAACGCCGAAGGUCACCAUCCGGUCGCACAAACAUCAACAUUCCCCCGAGCAUAGCCGAGUUCCUCCAGGCUCCAAUGUAGCAGUGCUUCGCAGUUCGCUGUAUGGAGAGCAUAUUCGUUUUGCCAGCUUGAUAAUACUAAACUAACCCGCAAUGGCACCUAGAGAUGUAAUGUUGAUGAUCACAUGCAACAACGGCGAUCGCAAGCAUGCAAGUCGCCAGAAAGGUGCGUAAAAUCAAGACCGAAAGGUGAAAACUCCCCACUCUUCUUGGCAUAAGGCGGUUGAUAAUAUCUUCUUCAACGUUUAUGUUGAGAUGACAAUAAACGGACCACACAACUUUAGCGCUCACGAUUUCG
rnacentral:misc_RNA from 1 species